GCCAUGUACCUGCUAUCCUUGACUAAUCACUUUCCCAUCCCCACGCGAUAUCAGUCUGGAUUUUCUCUCCAUCUUCCUUUCGGAUCUAUUACUCUAUGGACCAGCGCCUCCCCCACCAGGUAAGCUUCUUCUUUCUUCGCUAAUGCUUGUUUUGCAAGUUUAUGAGCUUGAGCAUUUUCCGAUCUAUUGAUAAACUGGAAAGUAACCUCGCAUAUGCUGGUUCUUUUGGUCUGGAUGUCUCGAAUAACUACUCCAAUAACUGACUUGUCCAUUUCUGUCGAUUGGCAUUUAGAAGCCUUUAGUUUCGGACUGUAAUAAGUAACUAGAAGGAUCAAUACUGGCACCUUGUAAUAGUUUAUAGGCGCUCUGUACUGAGAAAUCUCCAGAAGGUUCUUCUUUCCACACUUGGAAAUCUUCAUGGUCUGCUGCUGCCAGAGGAAUCUGCAAGAAGUUUUGGGCAAUAUCCGACUGAAAGGUAUUGUUGACCAACUCCCGUUUCCAAGUUCUACCUGUGCUGUUAAUUAAAUCCGAGACUAAUUGCACUCCACAGUUUUCUUCGCUGUUAUGCCAUCCAACUACUGCAUACCCUGUAAUCCAACAAUCACUCCAUAUAAAUAUCUCAGUACCUCUUCCAACUCUCCAACAAAGUCCAUCUCGAAGGAGACCGUUUACUGCCCAGAUGCUCUCCCAGUUAAAGGAAGGUAAAUUUCCCAGCUGUGCAUUUUGAAAGUUUGAAUUCCGAAAAUAUUUUGCUUUAAGAAUUCUGGCUAAUAAAGAAUUUGGAUGAUUAAUAAUGCGCCAUCCCUGCUUGGCUAACAACGCAUGUAACGCCCCCUUACUCGAGACCGUCGCCGGAGUUGAGCAUGAGACAUUACUAAACUUAUUUUAGCAUUUAAACAAGUUCAAACAAUUUUCGUAGUAAAUUGUCCUGUGUCACAGUCGCUAAAAAAAUCAUAUCUCGAGUUGAAGAACUCGAAAUUCAAUUUUGUAAAUUUUUCUUGAAACUAAAUUCAUAUAUUUACUUACUAAUUUUUUUUAGAAUUUUUGGUUGGGCCAAUUAGUAUAAUUUAUUAGAUAAAAUCUCUCUUGUUUUAGGGUUCGGCUACUCUGACUC
rnacentral:lncRNA from 1 species